rnacentral:antisense_RNA from 1 species
UCGCACAUCUUGUUGUCUGGUUAUUGAUUUUUCGCAGAACCACUUGAUCACAUGACAAGAUGUGCAUCCA